rnacentral:rRNA from 1 species
UACGUAGGUGGCAAGCGUUGUCCGGAUUUACUGGGCGUAAAGAGCGCGCAGGCGGUCGUUCAAGUCGCGUGUGAAAGCCCCCCAGCUCAACUGGGGAGGGUCACGCGAUACUGAUCGACUCGAAGGCAGGAGAGGGUAGUGGAAUUCCCGGUGUAGUGGUGAAAUGCGUAGAUAUCGGGGAGGAACACCAGUGGCGAAGGCGACUACCUGGCCUGUUUCUUGACGCUGAGGCGCGAAAGCUAGGGGAGCAAACGGGG